rnacentral:rRNA from 1 species
CCCUUCCAGAGUAUCAAUUGGAGGGCAAGUCUGGUGCCAGCAGCCGCGGUAAUUCCAGCUCCAAUAGCGUAUAUUAAACUUGUUGCAGUUAAAAAGCUCGUAGUUGAAUUUCUGCUGUUUCGUUGACUGCGCUUGGCGUUUGUCAUCGUUGCGGCUUGGUUGGGUUUCGAUUAUUCGUUUCCCGGCGUUUACUUUGAGAAAAUUAGAGUGCUUGAAGCAGGCUUUUGCCUUGAAUACUUUAGCAUGGAAUAACGGAGUAGGACUUUGGUUCUAUUUUGUUGGUUUUAGGAGCCAGAGUAAUGGUUAAUAGGAACAGUUGGGGGCAUUCGUAUUUGACUGUCAGAGGUGAAAUUCUUAGA